GAUGAACGCUAGCGGGAGGCCUAAUACAUGCAAGUCGAGCGGUAGAAUGACUUCGGUUGUUUGAGAGCGGCGAACGGGUGAGUAACGCGUACACAAUCUACCUUUAAGAGGGGAAUAGCCCUGGGAAACUGGGAUUAAUGCCCCAUGGCAUCACGGGAUGGCAUCGUUUUGUGAUUAAAGCUGAGGUGCUUAAAGAUGAGUGUGCGUCUGAUUAGCUAGUUGGUAGGGUAAUGGCCUACCAAGGCGACGAUCUGUAGCUGGUCUGAGAGGACGAACAGCCACACUGGGACUNAGACACGGCCCAGACGUCCUACGGGAGGCAGC
rnacentral:rRNA from 1 species